ensembl:lncRNA
AGACCCAGAGCCAGAUGUGGCAGGGGAUGGGGGCACUUCAUGGACGAGACCAAGUCGUCCAUGGCUUCAUCUCCAAGUACCCAAUGAAAGGCCAACACCCAGCAAUCUCUCCAGCUUCGGCUCUUCGGCUCUCAGUCUCUCCAGCCACCAGCCGCCCCUCGGGCCUCCCAGCUUCAUCUCUGGGGACCCUGCAGCCCUGCCCUCUCCCAGCCAGGAUUUCCUCAGCCAGAGCUACCAGGCCUUGGAGACCCCUGCCCAUCUCCUGGGUCCCGGUGCAGGCUGUGUCAGGCUAUCAGCUAAGGAGAGCAACAGCUCCUUUCAGAAGCUGCUGGAGUGUGUGUGCGUGUGUGUGUGCGUGUGUGUGUGUGUGUGUGUGUCGGGGAGAAGCUGAUCGCUAACAAAAAGGAGGGAUGUGUUGGUGAGUCAGCCGUGUUAAUGAGAAACACCUCACCCCGCUGAUUAGGACUAAUGAAGAAGAACAGAGCGGGUGGGGGUUCACUCAGUCACAUCUUUAUAGGGUAGGGGGAAGCAGAACAGCUCCCCCAGUCCCAUUCCUCCCUCAGCAAGGACAAGAGCAGAACAACUUUGGCUACCACAGGAAGAAUUGAGGUCAGAUGCAAGGAUGAAACAUCAAGGGCAAGGGGGUCCUAACUGGGAAGGGGUGGGACCAGGUGUCCAGGGGCAGAGGCCAGACAGUGUGGGGAAAACGUGUGUGAUUCUCUUGCACCCUGUGCCAUCCUUGCCCCUCCCCUAAUUUCUCUAUGUUGACUCCAGAGAAAUUCUUGGCACUGAUGUCUGUGCCCCAGGCUGCCCAAGUGCCUUUUGAGAGCUAACGCCGUCUGCAGAGGCCGUGAGGGUACUGUUGAGAUGGCUCCAGUCUGCGCUGCCUCCCAUGGGCAGCCUGCAAGAGAAGGCUCUGGUUUGGGGCAUUGACUGUGCAGAUGUUAAUGACCCAGGGAGGCCUGACAGGACGAGGGCAGGAGGGGGCUGGGGUCGGGGAGGACCUGGGCCUCAGCUGGAGCCCUCUCAGUGAGUCCCCUGUCCUUGUGGCAGAGGGAGAAGCCCCCGAGAACCAGCAGCUUCACCCACCCUCCAUGCCAACUCAGCCCAGGGCCAGAGCACCCUGCGCACCUCGCAGAUGUUCCAGUCGGCUGUUGUCUACCACGCAGACCCCCACAAACACUUUUGGUGCUUGAUCUUUGUGCAUUGAAUUUACUUCUGUCCCAAAGAAGGUAAGGAAUGAUGCGGCAGCCCCAGCUUGGAGGUGGGAGAUGGCGAACGUGAUGGGCCGAGGAGAGGGAGGCUUCCUCUCUGCCAGAGGUGUCCUGGGACCUGGAAGAGUGAGGUGGAGAGGGUGAAGGCAGAGCAGAAGGGCCUGGCAGGGAAACCAGGUCGCGAGAGACAGUGAGAGAGCUGUGAACACACUGUGGGAAGGAGUGAACGAUGAGCUGAGUUCUCCCCCUCCAGAGAUGCUAUUUUGGAGGGAGAGAAUAUAUGCGGUGCAGGGCGCAGGGUCGGGGGAGUAUGCCACCUUCCACAGGGGUCAGCUGGACCACCUGCUGCCUUCACUCUCCUGGCCAGCCAUCUCACUGGCCCUGGGCCCACUCCCAGCACUUCUCUCCCCAUUGGGAAAAUCUUCCUGCUCUCUUGAGCGCAAGAGGAGAAAGAAGGAGCUAGGAGAUUUGCAGGUGGCCUCUUGGCACCUGCUUGAGAGUCCCCUGGGGCCACAGUCCUAGGGAGACACUUCUAUUUCCAUUACUUCCUUGGAAUGAAGAUGUGGGGGCUACUGUGGGGCAUGAGGUGCAGCAGGCAUAGAGUACAACUCAGCAGGCUCCAGCACUUCUUGUCCCCAACUCCAUACUUAGGCACUCUCCAUGCAUCCCCCUUUAGCAUCAAACUUAGGGAGAAAAUUUGGUAUUAAAAGAGAAAAUUUGGUGUUAAAAGAGGCCAGGCAGAAGGUGCUUCCAGGGCCAGCUGGGUUUGCCCACAAGAAAUCCGACCUCUCCUGGUGGGAGAGCCAAUCUUGCCUCUUUGGGUCAAGGAGGCUGGACAGAGGUCGAUGUCAAGUACAGCCCCUGCUUGGCAUGAAGGGAAAUUCCUGUGCCCCAGCUCAACCCCUCUGGGGGGCCCUGACUCAUUUUGGGAUGAAAGCUCCAAUGCCCUGUGGGUUUCUGUGGUGGCUGGGGGCAGCGGCUGACGAGGCGUGUAGAUCGAGCACUGGGGAUGAGCGAAGACUUUUGUUUUCGCUUUUGGAGCUUGGCUCUCUUUCUGCCUGAGGGUCCAGCUUCACCUGAAGGAGCAAGGUUGACUGAGAUGGAAAGAAGGCCAGGCUUCUAGCCAGUGAGGUGCUGGGCAGGGCCACAGUAGAAGCAACAUUAGGUUAGACUUUAGGAAGAACUUCCAGUGAAGACACUGGGGCGCAUUUGUGAGAUGAACCGAGGCAUCCGUUUUCCACAGUAGAUCCCUCCCUCUAAGGCUGCGGAGUUCGGGCUGGCAUGGGGCAGUGCAGGCCAGAGGUAGAGAGAUGAGCACUGCGACCCACUGCAGGUGACAGGGGCCUGAAGUCUCCAGGGAGGAGGGAUGAGGGUGGGUUCAGUAUCAGAAGGCAUAUGUCCCCAAGCCAGACCGUGGGUCAGGGAUUAGAGUUAGAAGACCCCUGGUGAGAAAGCCUGUCUCUCGUCAGGUCCCUCUCCCUCACCGUCCUAUCUUCAUGCUUAUCUUCUUCUGGUCUCACAGACCAGGGAGGGGAUGAGAGGAGAGGAAACAGCUAUGGUCAAGGGGAGACUGGCUCCUUUCCCCUGUGCCUGGAGAGAGAGAGGCCUGCAGGGGGAAAUGGGGAUAGUGGAGCCAAAUUCCAUAGGGUGGAGGAGCUAGAGGGGGUCAGCAGAGGGCCAGGGGUCUACAGGGAGCCCGUGUCAUUCCUGCCAGAGCCCCCUGCUCCAGAGGGAUGCCCAGCCCAGGCUUUCGGCCCACAGGUGAGUAGGUGGAUGAGGCUGAUUGAACAAUCGUGUCCCUCCCCCUUCCUAGGGCUCUUGGUCUUGUGGGUGCUGCAGGAGCUAAACUCUCCCGCCCCCCCAGACGGUAACAGCGAACUGUGGAUGAGAGGUGAGGGGAGGAUCAGGCGAUGGUGUCGAGGAGAUAGUUCACCCCGAAGCAUGGUGAGGGGCAGGCCAGAGGACAGUGCCCCCUGGUGCUGGCCUUUCUGGAGUGCCCAGCACACACAGCGAACUUACCUGAGGGAUCAGAGAGCCCCUUGCUUGCCUCGGCAUCCUAUUCCCUCCCAGACUGGCAGGUGGUUAAGCCUGAGGACAGAGGAGGGAUUGAGCAGGACUUGGCACAGGAGCCCUUAGCCACCCACCCCCCGAGUCCUCGGAGCUCAGAGAUUUGUGUGUCUCCAGUCUCAGGCACUGCCCUAGUCCCCCACAGUGGGCACAUGUGGGUCUGCCCCUCACUGUCCUCCAGACUCACCCUGUUACACUUAGCCCCACACUUAGAUGUGUAAAGCACACAGAUGGUCCCAGUGACUCACACACACACACCCUUCCUCACUUACCAGACUCCCACUGACACCCACCUGCAGACACACACUCCUCCCAAAACGCAAUGCAUACACACACACAGUCUCACACAACCAGGAAUACAGUGCCACACGGGUAUGUCCCAGGUGUCACAGGGUCAUAGGCAAGGACUGCUGUGCAUUCACACAUGACUCCAUGCAGACCCCAGGAAUAGUGCACACCGACACAUGCGUGAAGUCCCACAUGCACACACAGGCAUAUGCUCCUGGCUUUGAGGCUGACCCCAUUAUCCAGUGGUGUGCUGGUAAAUGUUUAACAACCAGCUCUCCAACUUGAGCUGCCACUCUGACAGCGCUGAACAUUGGGAGGCAAUGCACACAAUUGUCCUUUGUAGAAAUCACAUGAUGAAUCUUUUUUUUUUAAAGAUUGGCACCUGAGCUAACAACUGUGGCCAAUCUUUUUUUUUUUUCUUCUUAUUCUUCUCCCCAAAACCCCCCAGCACAUAAUUAUAUAUUCUAGUUGUGAGUGCCUCUGGUUGUGCUAUGGGGGACGCUGCCUCAGCAUGGUCUGAUGAGCGGUGCCAAGUCCACACCCAGGAUCCAAACCAGCGAAACCCUGGGCUGCUGAAGUGGAGCGCACAAACUUAACCACUCGGCCACGGGGCCGGCCCCCACAUGACAAAUCUUAAGCACAAAUGGGCAGCCCCUAGCAGGGCUGCACCUGGGAAGCAGUGACUCAUUAGGGCAGCUUCUUUCCCCAUGGGGGUGCCUCCCCUUCCCCACCUUCUCUCACCCCCUACUCCUGUCCAGACCCCACUUCCUGCCCUUCUCGCUUCUCCUCUUCCUUCCCUGUCACUCAGGGCUGCGAGCUAUGUCUGGUACUCACUCAUGUCUUUCUCACCCUUGCUCCCUCCUUUCUCUCCCUGCCAUGGCCACAGCCACCGGGUGUGGGGAGUGACAGGCCCAUAGCUAAUUCAGGCAGGCUUCCCCGGAGGAAGAGGACAAGGAGAUGCCCACGUUCCCUCUCUCUGCCUGGCUGCUGAUGUUGUGUACCUGCCUCCUUGCACCUGGCCUGUCCCUGGUUACCUUAUUCUUCUCCUAGUCAUCAGGACAGAGUCUGGUCAGGAGGUGGAGUGAAAGUGUGAACAGGAGAGAAUUUGCAUCUGGUGGGGCAGUGAGGGGAGGUAAGGUUAGAGCCUGAGGCUCUCUCAUCCUAACCAUCUUCUGGGAACAUGGCAUCACUUCUCAGAGCUUCUGUUCCUCAGUGUGAAAAAAAAAAUGAAGGGACUGACCUAGUGGUUUUAAUUUCCUUCUCAGCUCUGACAUUUUGGCAUUCUAUAUUUCUGAGAUUCUUCCAAAAUCUACUCUGCGAGAAGUAGCCCCUAUUGCUAAUGCUGAUCUUUUCCCAGCUCAUGAGAGGGGUGAACAGAUGUGGUUUGGGGAUUGGGGGCCAGUAGGUGCCACAGCUAAAGGAGCUGGAGACCGGGCCUGGGUGCCUGUGGUUUUUGGUUUGGAGCCCGGCAGCCCAUGUACAUUUGGAGAACCUUCCAGCAGCCUCUGUUCUCUUUGCUGUGGCUCCUGAAUUAUUCCUGCCAUAUACAUAUAUAGGAGGAAAAGGGGCGGGGCGGGACAGAGAAGAGGGAGGAAGGGAAGAAAGAAGGAAGGAAGGAGGGAGGGAAAGAAAGGAAAAGGAAAGGAAAGACAGAAAGAAAAUGAACAGAAAAAAAGAAAAGGAAAGGGCUCAGCCUGGAUCCAGGAAGCAGCCAGCCUAACCAGUGAACUUGCCAGGGGGACUGGAGGGGAUGGGGAGAGGUGCCCCUAGUUGUUACAACCCUGCCACGUGAAUCGGCCAGGUGGGGGCAGUUCCAGACCUUCCUGAGCUUGGGCUGAGUGGUGCCAGGGCAGAGGUGAGUGCCCCCACACUGCCCCGUCGGUGCCCCGCAGGGCUGGGGUCCUGGAGGCAGCCCACUCCUCUGCCCACGGCCUCCUGCCGCUGCUUUACUGCUCCUUCUGAAAACAACUGAAACCACAAAAUUGGCUUGUGGUUGGGUUAAUAUCAGUCACUGCUAUUCAGCUUGGCUUCCUAGGAUGACUAAGGGGGUUGGAAGCCCCUCCUAUUAGACCCCCAGAUCUUCAGGAGUCGGAGGCACAGACGGAAACUGGUUUCUUUUGGAGGCUUUUGCUGGGGUGGGGGUUUCUGGAUGGCAGGACUGCAGGCACUGCACUCUAACAUGUCUGUGAGCCCAGGGGUCUGGGAGGUCACCCCGGUGGGGGUAACCUUAUUCCUAGGUUGCCUCAUCCAGCUUGAAGUAGGGAGGAGCUGAGGUUGAGGACACUUGGGUCCCCCAAAGAGUCUCCUUUCAAUCUGCCUCUUCCAGCUCCACUUCUCCAGUGAGCCAAGCUGCUGCUGAGGGUGGGCUCAUGGGCAGGGCCUGGGUAGCAGCCUGACAGCCCAGCUGGUGCUUGGGCCUCGUACCAGAGUCCUUAGUUGGAAUUCCCCCACCUCCCUCCCAGAUGGCUGUCCCCUCCCCUCUCCGGACCUGGAGUCCCCUCCCCUCUCGGGGCCAAGUUCCACUGGUGGUCCUUCAGGCAGGAGUGGUGUAGAUGGCAGAAGGCAGGCUGUAAAUAUGGAUGCUCAGGCCCCAGACCCUGGUAAAUGACAUCUAGAGUUUGACAGUUCUGGAGUUUGACAGGGCCUACCUCUCCAUCCUUCCCAGAGUCAGGAAGACAGAACUCAGGUGAUCCUGAGUUCGGGGUGGAGGUGGGGCAGGUGAGAGAGAGGCUUUCUUCUUUCCUUCUGGAUAUUAAAACACUCUUGGCCCCUUUUCCUACCUCCUCCUUCCUGUGCAUCAGUGGUAGCAAGCGCCAAGGGGGGAGGUCCCAUCCCCUCAUCUCAAUGUUAUGUAAAGUGGGGUAAGAGCAUCCUUUAGAAAGUUUUGCUAUUUUUAUUGAUCUGUAACAUCUCAAAGGAAGAAGUACGCUUGCCAUGCAAAUACACAUCAAGACGAAUCUCCCGUCCCCUUCCCCCAUGUCACCUCCCAACCCCACUCACAGAGAAUGCUGGGACUGCCCCGCUGUGCCUCAACAUCCCAGCAGCCUGGUCCUCCCGUUCCCUCGGGGCUUAGGAAAUGAGCCCAGACUGGGAGACAGGAGGGUGGGUCCUACCCUAGGUUGGUUUUCCCUUUUGGUGACUGUCACUAAGCCUCCUUUGUGAGAGUGGGAUUAUUUCAGCGCUGACCUUUGUGCAUCUGUGAUGCUAGUGAUGAAAGGGAAAAGAUGACCAUUCCUGUGACCCCUUCUGCCCGCACCCCCAUUACCGCGGUUCUCCCUGCUUCCCGUGCCCUGCCCCGCCCCCGGUUCUGCCCGCUGCUCUCUUUCUGACUGUCCAUUGUCUCAGUUUCUCUCUCUCCUGCUUUCAUUCUCCGUCUCUCCAUCUCUCUUUCUGUUUCAGCUCCCUCCUUCUCCCCAGCCCGCC